UACGUAGGGGGCAAGCGUUGUCCGGAAUCAUUGGGCGUAAAGCGCGCGUAGGCGGCCCGGUAAGUCCGCUGUAAAAGUCCACGGCUCAACCCUGGAACGCCGGUGGAUACUGGCGGGCUAGAGUCCGGAAGAGGCGAGUGGAAUUCCUGGUGUAGCGGUGGAAUGCGCAGAUAUCAGGAGGAACACCGAUGGCGAAGGCAGCUCGCUGGGACGGUACUGACGCUGAGGCGCGAAAGCGUGGGGAGCGAACAGG
rnacentral:rRNA from 1 species